rnacentral:rRNA from 1 species
GACGAACGCUGGCGGCGUGCCUAACACAUGCAAGUCGAACGGAAGUUAGAGCUUCGGUUUUAACUUUAGUGGCGAACGGGUGAGUAACGCGUGAGGAACCUGCCUUUCAGUGGGGGACAACGGUUGGAAACGACUGCUAAUACCGCAUGACACUUUUGGGAGACAUCUCCUGGAAGUCAAAGCUUUAUGUGCUGGAAGAUGGCCUCGCGUCUGAUUAGCUAGUUGGUGAGGUAACGGCUCACCAAGGCGGCGAUCAGUAGCCGGUCUGAGAGGAUGAACGGCCACAUUGGGACUGAGAUACGGCCCAGACUCCUACGGGAGGCAGCAGUGGGGAAUAUUGGGCAAUGGGGGAAACCCUGACCCAGCAACGCCGCGUGAAGGAAGAAGGCCUUCGGGUUGUAAA